UAGGUGAUCUGUUCUGUUCGGACAAUAAUGACCAUUUACAUCGUAUCUUUUCUUUCUUAAGUACAACAUCUGGUCAACCCAUCUUCGACAGACUUUGACAAAAUGGUCCAGACCAGACAGAGCAAAGCAUAGAGAGCAGAGUAAUCAUGGAUGGAGAGCAAAAAGUGGUGUGUGUAACAGGAGCUUCCGGUUACAUAGCUUCGUGGGUGGUGAAGCUCUUACUGGAACGUGGAUACACUGUCAAAGCUUCUGUUCGAGACCCUAAUGAUCCAAAGAAGACAGAACACUUGCUUUCACUCAAUGGAGCUAAGGAAAGACUACAUUUGUUUAAAGCUGAUUUAUUGGAUGAAGGAGCUUUUGAUGCUUUAGUUGAUGGCUGUGAAGGCGUUUUCCAUACAGCAUCCCCUGUAACCUUUUCAGUCAAUGAUCCACAGGCAGAGCUAAUUGACCCUGCAGUGAAGGGAACAUUAAACGUUCUGAGAUCAUGUGCAAAAGCCCCUUCUGUAAAGCGAGUGGUUGUGACAUCUUCCAUGGCUUCAGUUGGAUUCAAUGGAAAACCUCUGGGCCCUGACGUGGUAAUUGAUGAGACAUGGUUUUCAGAUCCUGCAUAUUGUGAGCAGAUGAAGCUUUGGUAUAUGGUUUCAAAAACUCUAGCUGAAGAGGCUGCUUGGAAAUUUGCAAAAGAAAAUGGGAUUGACUUAAUCACACUACAUCCAGGACUUGUGAUUGGUCCUCUCUUACAGCCAACCGUUAACUUCUCUGUGGAGCCUAUUCUGAAUCUUACAACUGGAGCUCAAACCUUUCCCAACAUAGUUUAUAGAUUUGUUGAUGUUAGAGAUGUUGCAUAUGCACAUAUUCAAGCAUUUGAAGUUCCUUCUGCCAGUGGAAGAUAUUGUUUAUCUGGACGAGUUGCACACAUGAUUGAGGUUUUGAAGAUUUUGAAAGAACUCUACCCUUCCUUGGACCUUCCAGAAAAGUGUGAAGAUGACAAGCCCUUCAUGCUCUACGAAGUAUCCAAGGAGAAAGCAAAAAGUUUGGGUGUGAAUUUCAUUCCUUUGGAAGUGAGUCUUAAGGACACCGUUGAAAGUCUAAAGGAGAAGGGUUUCAUUAAUGCUUAGAUCAACGUCUUUGAACAAGAUGUGUUGGAAAACAAUAACAAGUAGAUCAUAUCUUGUUUUGUUACCCCAGUCUGCUGUAAUUUGUUAACAGAAAGGUUGGUACAAGUUUUCAGCUUUAUGGAACUUGAUUUUAGCCCCAUGAAUGCCUGUGGAAACUGAGAAGUUCAACCAUGUUAGCUUCACUGCAUGGAGUACAAAAUAAUCUGAACUUCCAGCUUUUUAGGAAAAUCCAAAUGCAUCAGUCUAGGAAGCAUGGAGAAGUGCUUAAAACUUUGUUUACUUCAAAUCUGAGGUAUUAUUGGAAGUACUUGAGUGGGCCAUGAAAGAUUCUUCAUUUAGUCUUUUCCCUCCAUCUCUUAGGAGCUAAAUAAACUGAAAAUCUGAUUUCGAAGAAGGAAACACCAUUUCCGUGGGGCUACACACCAUCACUACCCUGUUCUUAAAUAACUUGUAUUUUUGCAUUUAGCUAGAAGUGGUGAAAUUCUU